rnacentral:rRNA from 1 species
ACGGCUCAGUAACACGUCGGUAACCUACCCUCGGGAGGGGGAUAACCCCGGGAAACUGGGGCUAAUCCCCCAUAGGCCUGAGGUACUGGAAGGUCCUCAGGCCGAAAGGGGCUUUUGCCCGCCCGAGGAUGGGCCGGCGGCCGAUUAGGUAGUUGGUGGGGUAACGGCCCACCAAGCCGAAGAUCGGUACGGGCUGUGAGAGCAGGAGCCCGGAGAUGGACACUGAGACACGGGUCCAGGCCCUACGGGGCGCAGCAGGCGCGAAACCUCCGCAAUGCGGGAAACCGCGACGGGGGGACCCCGAGUGCCGUGGCACCGCCACGGCUUUUCCGGAGUGUAAAAAGCUCCGGGAAUAAGGGCUGGGCAAGGCCGGUGGCAGCCGCCGCGGUAAUACCGGCGGCCCGAGUGGUGGCCGCUAUUAUUGGGCCUAAAGCGUCCGUAGCCGGGCCCGUAAGUCCCUGGCGAAAUCCCACGGCUCAACCGUGGGGCUUGCUGGGGAUACUGCGGGCCUUGGGACCGGGAGAGGCGGGGGGUACCCCUGGGGUAGGGGUGAAAUCCUAUAAUCCCAGGGGGACCGCCAGUGGCGAAGGCGCCCCGCUGGAACGGGUCCGACGGUGAGGGACGAAGGCCAGGGGAGCAAGCCGGAUUAGAUACCCGGGUAGUCCUGGCUGUAAAGGAUGCGGGCUAGGUGUCGGGUGAGCCUCGAGCUCGCCCGGUGCCGUAGGGAAGCCGUUAAGCCCGCCGCCUGGGGGAGUACGGCCGCAAGGCUGAAACUUAAAGGAAUUGGCGGGGGAG